rnacentral:rRNA from 1 species
AUUGAACGCUGGCGGCAUGCCUUACACAUGCAAGUCGAACGGUAACAGGUCUUCGGAUGCUGACGAGUGGCGAACGGGUGAGUAAUACAUCGGAACGUGCCUAGUAGUGGGGGAUAACUACUCGAAAGAGUGGCUAAUACCGCAUGAGAUCUACGGAUGAAAGCAGGGGAUCGCAAGACCUUGUGCUACUAGAGCGGCCGAUGGCAGAUUAGGUAGUUGAUGGGAUAAAAGCUUACCAAGCCGACGAUCUGUAGCUGGUCUGAGAGGACGAUCAGCCACACUGGGACUGAGACACGGCCCAGACUCCUACGGGAGGCAGCAGUGGGGAAUUUUGGACAAUGGGCGCAAGCCUGAUCCAGCAAUGCCGCGUGCAGGAUGAAGGCCUUCGGGUUGUAAACUGCUUUUGUACGGAACGAAAAGCCCCGGGUUAAUACCCUGGGGUCAUGACGGUACCGUAAGAGUAAGCACCGGCUAACUACGUGCCAGCCGCCGCCGUAA